rnacentral:rRNA from 1 species
UCCGGUUGAUUCUGCCGGAGGCCACUGCUAUCGGGGUCCGACUAAGCCAUGCGAGUCAAGGGGGUGUCUCUGACACCACCGGCGGACGGCUCAGUAACACGUCGGUAACCUACCCUCGGGAGGGGGAUAACCCCGGGAAACUGGGGCUAAUCCCCCAUAGGCCUGAGGUACUGGAAGGUCCUCAGGCCGAAAGGGGCUCUGCCCGCCCGAGGAUGGGCCGGCGGCCGAUUAGGUAGUUGGUGGGGUAACGGCCCACCAAGCCGAAGAUCGGUACGGGCUGUGAGAGCAGGAGCCCGGAGAUGGACACUGAGACACGGGUCCAGGCCCUACGGGGCGCAGCAGGCGCGAAACCUCCGCAAUGCGGGAAACCGCGACGGGGGGACCCCGAGUGCCGUGGCAUCGCCACGGCUUUUCCGGAGUGUAAAAAGCUCCGGGAAUAAGGGCUGGGCAAGGCCGGUGGCAGCCGCCGCGGUAAUACCGGCGGCCCGAGUGGUGGCCGCUAUUAUUGGGCCUAAAGCGUCCGUAGCCGGGCCCGUAAGUCCCUGGCGAAAUCCCACGGCUCAACCGUGGGGCUUGCUGGGUAUACUGCGGGCCUUGGGACCGGGAGAGGCGGGGGGUACCCCUGGGGUAGGGGUGAAAUCCUAUAAUCCCAGGGGGACCGCCAGUGGCGGAGGCGCCCCGCUGGAACGGGUCCGACGGUGAGGGACGAAGGCCAGGGGAGCAAACCGGAUUAGAUACCCGGGUAGUCCUGGCUGUAAAGGAUGCGGGCUAGGUGUCGGGUGAGCUUCGGGCUCGCCCGGUGCCGUAGGGAAGCCGUUAAGCCCGCCGCCUGGGGAGUACGGCCGCAAGGCUGAAACUUAAAGGAAUUGGCGGGGGAGCACUACAAGGGGUGGAGCGUGCGGUUUAAUUGGAUUCAACGCCGGGAACCUCACCGGGGGCGACGGCAGGAUGAAGGCCAGGCUGAAGGUCUUGCCGGACACGCCGAGAGGAGGUGCAUGGCCGCCGUCAGCUCGUACCGUGAGGCGUCCACUUAAGUGUGGUAACGAGCGAGACCCGCGCCCCCAGUUGCCAGCCCUUCCCGCUGGGAAGGGGGCACUCUGGGGGGACUGCCGGCGAUAAGCCGGAGGAAGGAGCGGGCGACGGUAGGUCAGUAUGCCCCGAAACCCGGGCUACACGCGCGCUACAAUGGGCGGGACAAUGGGAUCCGACCCCGAAAGGGGAAGGGAAUCCCCUAAACCCGCCCCCAGUUCGGAUCGCGGGCUGCAACUCGCCCGCGUGAAGCUGGAAUCCCUAGUACCCGCGUGUCAUCAUCGCGCGGCGAAUACGUCCCUGCUCCUUGCACACACCGCCCGUCACUCCACCCGAGCGGGGUCUGGAUGAGGCUCCGUCCUCUGGGCGGGGUCGAGUCCAGGCUCCGUGAGGGGGGAG